rnacentral:lncRNA from 1 species
UGGCUGCCUUUUAACUUAACCACCUGUUUAAAGGCCCUGUCUCCAAAUAUAGUCACAUCUUGCGGGACUGGAGGUUAGAGAGUCAACAUGUGAAUUUUGGGUGGAGACACAAUUUGGUCCAUAACAUGAACCCACUGCAAAGAUUUCCCAUUCCAUUAAGGGAUCAUGAACCUAACCUGUGAAAUGUUUUUCAAUCUAGAGCUACGUUCUUUGGUCUCUACUUGAAUAUCUCUGGCCAAUUGUCUUCCAAGGGAUCCCAUCGUUGUGCCACCACUAUACCAACCACUUGCCGACUUCAUGCUCUGUGGCAGUCCCCAUGCUGAGCACCGUUCCUUCUCUGCCUCAUUCAGUUGUCGCAACCACCCAACAAAAUCUUAGCACAACUUGAU